rnacentral:lncRNA from 1 species
GGUAACAAUUCCCUUGACUUCCUUAGUGAUCAAAUCCAAAUAAAUAAGCCACUACUUUCAAUGAGACAUAAAAGUCUAAUCUAGUCUAGCAGAUUAAAUACCUCACAUCUAGAGGAACAUCCUCAGAUUCUCAGAUGAACCCUUUUAAUAGUUGCUUUUAAGACCAGCUUAAUGUAUUUUCCCAAAUCUGAAUUUUCUCCAAAAUAAUAAAAGUUGUAUCAGUUAUCAUUUUUGCUAAAAGCUGUUAUUUUUAGAACAACUCAUCAGAAUCUUCUCCUUAAGCAUCAGAAUUGUUUUCAGAUAUGAUAGCCAAAGCCACAUAUGGUUAUCAAACACUUGAAAUGGAGCUAGUCCAAAUCAAGAUGUGCUGCCCUGGAAAUGCAACAGUGAGACCAAUGUGUUUCCUCCCCUCAUCUUGCUUGCAACCUACCAAACCAAGUCCCAGUGGAACAAAUGCCAUAAUUAGCCCUCAGAAGAAAGGCCAGAGAUUGACUGCGAGGUCCCUCCAGUCAUGCCUUGAGGCCCUUGCUAGACUGGGACGCUCACACUGUUGCUCUCUGCUUUGUAGCUGUUUGUGCAAGAACAAAAGGACUUCAGUCUCCGUUGCUAUUAAUCCAACUUCACAAGCAUGAAAUUUACAGACACACACAAGAAUUCAUCAUUGAAACCUUUUCCCCUUGUCAUGUUCAGCUGCUGAAAAGUGGGCAUACUCUUGGAUAUGAAUGUUAAUAAAAAGGAAAAAAAAUGGACA